GUGAUUUGCUGCAGAGAGGGGACACAAAACUCAGGGCCCCGAGCAAUUGGUGGGAAACUAGAUCUCAAAGCAGAAAAUGAAAAGUCGAUCUGGGGGAAGAUUUUUAAAUAAGUGGGUCAGAGGGACGGAGAGGAGAUGAGGCGAUCAAUCUUAGCCCCCUGACAGCUCCCUCCGAGGGCAUCAAAGAAUUCGGCUCUUUGGGAAAGCAGAGGGAACAGCCGAAAUUCCACAUCCCUUUAAAAGGCCUGGGGGUGGGGGUGAUAGCAAAAGAGAAAGGUGAUUCCGGGAGAGUGGGGAAACAGAUGGGAAAUGGGGACAGAGGGAAGGACGCUGAGUUGGGUGGAAAGUUUGGAGAACUCCCACGGCUCUGGCCUCCCCUCCCCCUCCUCCUCUCCACCGCCCGGCAAGGAGGAGAAGGCUGGUUAGCAGAGAAAUGGCAACUCAGCCGGGAGCUGGAACUAGAACCUUUCUGUCAAUGUAACAGCCGCGUGGGUGGCGGAGAAUUGCAAAGGGAAAAAAAAUCAAGAUUUGGAGGAAUUACCCACAGAGAUGGAAGUCCGAGGGUGGCUGAUUGCUCUGUUCCCUUUGAUUUCUCCAAAAGAAGCAAAGAAGAGAGAAACUGGAUAACUGCUGGACUUUUCUACCAAGAGAUUCGAAAGUGCUUCCUGAAUGAGAACAUCUUUUCCCAGGGCAAAAAAGAAAGUCAACAGAGCAAUCAGAACAAUAUUAUUCUCUGGGUUGGAAACAGGGUACCUUGUUUACUGAAGUUUUCCAAGGCAAAAAAAAAAAAAAUCAUUGUUUUAAUGCAGACUCUUCAAACUGCAGAAAAAAUAAAUCUUCAAGCUGUCAUAGGAUUUUGUGUAUUUCUUCUAAAACUUCUGACUGCAUUUUUUUUUCUCCCUGUCUUCCCGCAUCUCUCACCAUCGCAUUUCAUAAAACCUCCAGAGUGACCCUGUCUUCUGACAUGUGAGUUUGGACUACUUAAAUCUCAUUCAGCCCAGCUGGUCAACUCCAAAGAAAACUAAAAAUAGGAAAAUAAAAUAAAAG
rnacentral:lncRNA from 1 species